GUUUAUGAAAAUGGCUCUCGGUAUCAACCCAGGAUGGGGCUGGAGAUCCUCCUUCAUCCCUGCACCCUUAUAUCACAGAGCUUUUCAGCCCUUCUCUAGCAUCUUUCCUUUGUAAGAGGAGACAUGUCUAGGUAGAAUGGAUUUGUUUCCCAUUUCAGGGAACAAACAAGAGUGCCCCAAAGAAGUUCUGAGAGGACUAUUAUCAGUGAUUGCCACAUUGAUUCAUUGGAUCAUAUAACCUUAGGAGCCCCAGCCCAGAUCACAGGAAAAGUGUGAGGUUGCCAUGGGCAUUCCUGGAAAAACUAGAAACUUCCGGUGCCACUUUAGACUUUAAAAAAUGCAGAAGCUCACUCUGCCUGCCUGUUUCCUCGCUAAAGCACUAUAGCUCUGUACUAUACGUGGAAGGCAACAGUUCGAGGAUUCAAACCAAAAGAGGCAAAAGGAGGAUCUUUGUGACAACCAGCUUGAAAUGGCAUCCUUGUUCGCUUCGUAGAACAAGAAAGCUGUUCCAGCAGCUGAUGUUAGAGUUCCUCACACUCUUGCUGAAAAACCUAUACUUUGCAGAGUGUAGGAUUAGAAUACCAUCUAAGAAGCAGCAGCAACAGCUUUCUACUUCUGACAAUAUCUACAAAGAAAAUGGAAAAAUACUUGUAAUCAAGGACUUCAACUCGACAGUUACCUAGCUUGUCAAAUUAAAACAUGUGGCAACCACCGGGCUAAAUAUCUUGAAAGAAUGAUACUUUCUUGUUUUUCUCCCUGACCUAAAAUCUCUUUGGAGUACAUUUGCAAUUCCUAAUUUUUCACACUUAAACAAAAGCUGUCCACACUAUGUUUAAAGAUGACUAAGCAAUUUUGUAUUAAGUAACCAAAGAUCACUCUGCCAAUUUUAGAAUAAUUAAGU
rnacentral:lncRNA from 1 species